AUGGGGAACCCACCGCUGAUCACCGUGCUCGGUGCCUCGGGUUUCGUCGGGUCGGCCGUCACCCGGGCGCUGGCGUCCCGGCCCGUCCGGCUCCGGCUCGUCUCCCGUCGGCCCUGCGUCCCCUCCCCCGGCCCGGCCGAGACCGAUGUCGUCACCGCCGAUCUCACCGACCGGGCCGCGCUGGCCGGGGCGGUGCAGGGUUCGGACGGGGUGAUCCAUCUGCUGCUGGGGGAGGGCGGCUGGCGGGCAGCCGAGUCCGACCCCGGUGCCGAGCACGUCAACGUCGGCGUCAUGCGGGACCUCGUCGAGGUACUGCGGCCCGCGCCCGGCGACGCGGCACCCCCGCUGGUGGUGUACGCCGGUGCCGCCUCGCAGGUCGGGGUGCCGCCCCGGGAGCCCCUCGACGGCAGCGAGCCCGACCGCCCGGAGACCGCCUACGACCGGCAGAAACUGACCGCUGAACACCUCCUGCUCAAGGCCACCGCCGAGGGCCGGGUACGCGGCAUCGGCCUGCGUCUGCCCACCGUGUUCGGCGAGAGCACGGCGUCCGGCACCGGCGACCGAGGCGUCGUGUCGGCCAUGGCGCGCAAGGCCCUCGACGGGCAGACGCUCACCAUGUGGCACGACGGCACCGUGCGCCGCGACCUGGUCCAUGUCGACGAUGUCGCGGCGGCGUUCACGGCCGCCCUCGACCACCCGGACGCCCUCGUGGGCGGCMAUUGGCUGAUCGGGGCCGGCCGGGGCGACGCGCUCGGCGAUGUCUUCCGGCUGAUCGCCCUCACCGCGGCCGAUGUCCUCGGGCGGUCCCCGGUCGACGUGGUCUCCGUAGAACCGCCCGCGCACGCCCCCGUGACCGACUUCCGCAGCGUCACCCUCGACUCCUCGCGUUCCGCGCGGCCACCGGUUGGCGCCCCCGGAAUCUCCCUGCCCGAGGGCGUGCGCCGCACCGUCACCGCCCUGGCCCGGGAGCGGGCCGCGAGCCGGUGA
rnacentral:misc_RNA from 1 species